rnacentral:rRNA from 1 species
GACGAACGCUGGCGGCGUGCUUAACACAUGCAAGUCGAACGGAAAGGCCCUGCUUGCAGGGUGCUCGAGUGGCGAACGGGUGAGUAACACGUGGGUGAUCUGCCCCUUACUUUGGGAUAAGCCUGGGAAACUGGGUCUAAUACUGGAUAGGACCAUGCUGUAGGUGGUGUGGUGGAAAGAUUAGUUUCGGUAAGGGAUGAGCUCGCGGCCUAUCAGCUUGUUGGUGGGGUAAUGGCCUACCAAGGCGUCGCCGGGUAGCCGGCCUGAGAGGGUGGACGGCCACAUUGGGACUGAGAUACGGCCCAGACUCCUACGGGAGGCAGCAGUGGGGAAUAUUGCACAAUGGGCGCAAGCCGGAUGCAGCGACGCCGCGGGGGGGAUGACGGCCUUCGGGUUGUAAACUCCUUUCAGCCAUGACGAAGCCCUUGUGGUGACGGUAGUGGUAGAAGAAGCACCGGCUAACUACGUG